ACAAUAGGUAACGAAUUGUUAAAAUGUAUUGUUGGCUUUUUGCAUUGUAAGUGGCUAUUGUAAGUGCAUUGUUAACUCUUUGUCAUUGUGUCCUGCAUCUUUAAGGCCCGGUCAGACGAAGACAGGAGAUCCGACGAAAUGCGGAGAAGGCAUCUUUAAGGCUAGCGCGGGUAAAGACAAAAGACGGUGAAGCAUACAGGGCUCUCUCUGUCCCGUUUCUUCAACGCCCGCUCGAGUGAAGGGGCCGACCGAGGUAACUGGAACCAGUCGUCCAUCUUACUUUCCCGGCUUCUUGCGUAUAUAGCACGGCAAAACUCAUAUGUACUCUCAAAAUAAAGUAUGUUACCAUUACAGAAGUAUAAAACAAAAAUUAAAAAGCCAGGAACAAAGUAUUUCAUAGGAAACAUAGCAGUGUUUUCAACUUUUUUGAUGGCGAUUUGAAGAGGAAAAUAAAUUGUACCCUGUAUAAUAUAAUAUAAUAUAAAUCAUUUUGAUUAGGUAACACAAAAUAAAAACAUUGUGUUAUGACAGGUUACACAUACCUGUUAUUACAUGUUAAAAAAUCUAUUGUUUUCAGGUACUCGAAUACAUAUUAGGCAGUGGCGUGCCGUGACAUUUGAUGAUAGGGACGCUGUGUUUCUGUAAGAAGCCCACAUCCAGGGGCAAUCAGUCAAUCGCGCGUCAGUGAUGGUCUAGGGUCCAUUCGUAUCGUUUAUUCGAUAAGCCAGUAAAAACCGUAGACUUCUCUAAAUGCAUUUUUAAUAUCACAAUUACAUUCAGAAUCGCUAGCCACGAUAUAUGUGAUACAUAUUACAAUACAGAAUCGCUAGCCACGAAUUCCGUUACGACAAUACAUCCACGAAAUUACAUGCUAUCAUUUCCCGCCAACGAAGCAGUCAAAAGUAGCCGUACGACAGUCAAACAUUUUCACAAUUCGCCCAAACUCCGCCAACUUAAUUUCAAGCAAUGUUUUAUUUUAUUUUAGAACUCUUUUUACUUUAAUUAAUUUAAGAUGAAAAAAUAAAAUAUUAAUAAUAAAUUAUAAAAUUACUCUAAAGACUGCGAAUAUCUUGGAAUUUUAUUUACACAAGUUACAGUCAAUGGUAGAUUUCUAGUGACAAUGAUAAGAGGAAAAUAUUUGUUAUUGCAUUCGUAGCACGGAUGACAUUGAUGAUGCAUUUUUGUCAUUCGAAAGAAUUGCUAA